rnacentral:rRNA from 1 species
GUGGGGAAUUUUGGACAAUGGGCGCAAGCCUGAUCCAGCCAUGCCGCGUGAGUGAAGAAGGCCUUCGGGUUGUAAAGCUCUUUCGGCCGGGACGAAAUCGCACCUUCGAAUACAGGGUGUGGAUGACGGUACCGGAAGAAGAAGCACCGGCUAACUACGUGCCAGCAGCCGCGGUAAUACGUAGGGUGCGAGCGUUAAUCGGAAUUACUGGGCGUAAAGCGUGCGCAGGCGGUUUUGUAAGCCAGAUGUGAAAUCCCCGGGCUCAACCUGGGAACUGCAUUUGGGACUGCAAGGCUGGAGGACGGCAGAGGGAGGUGGAAGUCCACGUGUAGCAGUGAAAUGCGUAGAGAUGUGGAGGAACACCGAUGGCGAAGGCAGCCUCCUGGGCUAGUACUGACGCUCAUGCACGAAAGCGUGGGGAGCAAACA